GCGUCACUGGCUUAGUGUUUUUUUAUCGAGAGAUGCGCGAGCAGGUAAGCCGCUGAUCAGCUGCGUCGAGUGCGCUGGUGCGCCGCCGCCGCGAACAAGGGUAGCGGCGGUGGCCGUACCGGCUCCCGCGGCUGUGCCACGCGCGCGGGCGGCUGCGCCUCCUCUAUCUCUUCCCUCUCUAGCGUCCGCGGCGGCGGCCACGGCUGCCGCUGAGGCGGCGCGGGGUCGGCCAGCUCGGGUGGACCCGAAAGACCUAGGCGUUGGGCGUCCUCCUCAGGCGGCCGGCCCUCUUGUGGCAGGUGUGGAAGAGGUGGCAGCUGCUGAAGGCCUCCAGAAAAGGGGGUGGGAAGCGGAGGAGGGUUUGGGAGCAAUCAGGGGUUAGACAACCAACGAACACUUACUACAUGCUACCGACAUUUAAAUCUAAAUCUACGGGACGCUCGUUGAGCGGAAUUCGGUUGUGUUCUGACGACUAGACUACGAGCUCAGAUCCUGAUUUUACAAGAGACCGAGAUCAAAACACUGGCCUAAAGUCGGAGGGCGUUUGUCCCUAAACACUCUUACAAUUCGACUUGACUCAUCACAUAUAACUGACUGAGGGACCCAACAGAAGAUGGUCUACUAUUAUAGACAGUAAUGAGUGUGUCAGUGUGAUGUAAACAAAGUCCCAUUUUUUAAGACGAAGUCUUUUAGCCACUACAAACAAGCCAGAAAUGACAUAAAAGGUGGAAAACGCAUAUAGGGAAGUACCGAUUGUUAACUCAACCCACCAGAAAGUCGGAAAUGUUUUUAUAGGAGGUGGGAUCAUUUAACCCACACCCUCGACUGGAGGUAACGAAGUUCUUAUUCUAACUCGGCUUUACACUUCCGGGAUAUGCACCAUUACCUCCACGUACCUGGUAGUCAACACCGCUUCCGUUUAGUGUCGGUAACACCAACCUAUGUUAUGACCGUAACUAACCACUCGUUAAGCUUAUACUAUUACUUUAAACACCUCGCUAGGAAUCGCACGCACGCUUCGUCCUUUGUUAUCGAUAUACCUAAUUUCUACGAUGGUUACUUCGACGAGUCGAUUCGUAACCGUUCGUCACCUUCCUUUAAGAACUCAUGUUCCUGAGUUAACUCAAGUAACAAGUACUAUCACUACGUUGCCGUCAUGUUACGACCAGAAGGUGCAAAGGGCUACUAGGGGAACUGCAGUAGAUGUUGUUCCAGGGGUCAGUGACGUCGGCGCACGCGAAACGACGGCAGACGUCCAGCACCACGUGACGUCGAAGCGCCGUGGGACGUGACGGACUUGAAGGCACCGACGAGGAGAGUGGUGCGCUGGCACUGUGUUGCUUCGCGGACAUGACAGGACUCCUGUCGUUCUUGGACGCGUAGAGCGAGGGCUCGCUAAAGUAGCCGUUGACCAAGCAGCCGACAGUACCACCACCGACCCAACGUAGUAAACUUGGCGGUGGCAAGUCCUAGAACUUGUAAAAGAGGUCACAACUCCAACGCGAGAGGCUCUUUGUCUUCCCUUAGCAAACGGGUCCGGCGGAACCGGUCUAGUAGUAAACCUUUUAGUAGAAGAGGUUUGGUGGGUGGAGUUCACUGACAUAGUAACGACGGUAGUGGCUGUUAGUGCCGUAACGCGAGACGUCCCAACCCAGAGGCUUGCCACCCACCUGCUGUUUUCCUCUACAUUCGAUGUGGUACCUCGAACGUCUGUAGCGGAAAACGUUGCCACUCGAGAUACCGGAGUGUGCUCUGUCUACCCUUGAACAGUUCAAACACUAGCCGCAACUGCUUCUGCCGCGCGGAGACCAGUGCCGGCACCUAGCCGACCACCAGUGGGGGCUCGUGGUCGUCGGGGGUUCACAGACCCGGUUGGCCCACCUACGGUCGAUGUAAAAACUCGAUGUGCCGUUCGAACGCUGCCGCCACUCCAGGGGUACCAGUGGGUUGGAGUCUGGUAAGAAGUUUCACAAGCUUGAGCAACUGUAGCUCCGGUCGCUCCCCUACCGUGUACCGCGUGUGUUUACCCGUCUCCACUACUCGAACCCACUGAAACGGGAUAAGGACCCAGGUUUGUCGAGGUUCCGCCACGUACACAGUCGUCUGUCCGCGCCACCACACUUCUCUUUGGUGUAGAUGAUGAGGAUGGUAGCGGCGAAUCGCGUCUUCCUCCAGGAAGAGUCGUGACUGGACCACAAGGACUGUUCGAGGUUACGACUACCACUAAGGCACAUGAUGUCCCUUCUACUUUCGAAUAGGCGUCGGCACCCGCCGCAAGUAUCCUAGCCCCGUCAUCCUAUGAUACAGUCCCCAUCGGGAUUAGGAGGUAACACCGAAGAGGGGGUUCGUAUCGCAAAAAAUAUAUAUAUAUAUAUAACAUAACGAAUCGACGACGUGUACAAGCGACAUAUUGGCAUUUACGAGAUACCAAAGUUGGUACAACAUAAAUCUUGUUUACAUGUCGUUAAUAUUAGCUAGACAUGAGUACUUAUUCUCUUCUUCAUCACUUAGAAGAUAUAAGAAAAGGGUCAAUUGAACCCUCAAACUCAACUUACGGCCACGGACCCUUAUCGACCGCCUAUACUUGAGUUUACUUGUUCGA
rnacentral:rRNA from 1 species